GCAAGAGGCCACUGGGGCUCCGGCCAGCCUGACUUGUUGACAGCUGCCGCUGGCUAAGCCAGGUUCAGUGAGUACUUCUUUCUCUGCCUACAGCCUACACUGGAGAAGUGGCUGGCCUGCUCUGAAUGGUAAAGGUCCUGAAUUCUCCUGCCAGGAGAUGAAAAGACUGAAGUUCAGAUAAGAGCCCGGGGCUACACUCCACACCAAGUGUGUGCUCGCUGAGGAGCGACUGAAGGAAACCCCCACUCCCCUCUCUCAGUAACGCGAAUAGCUGGGCUUUCCAGUCCUGUUCUUGUACAAGGGUGCAGUCGGAAUGUCAUGCCGUGCUUCCAACAGGAGCUCCCAGGACAGGGGAUUCCAGUGACGGGGAUCUGGCCGGGAAGCAGUGCCGUUGUCAUGCAAGGAUCCCAACCCAGAACGAACGAGGUCAAGAUGACUCCCUCACAUACAGAAGCACAUGCUCCCUGGACAUCUCAAGGGACUGAAUGUGAGCAAAAUCUGCAUUUCCAAAGGUUUUAUUUAUUCAUUUUCAGAGAAGAAGCGAGGGAAGGCGAAGGGAGAGAAACAUCAGUGUGUGGUUGCCCCUCACGCGCUCCCUGCUGGGGACCUGGCCUGCAACCCAGGCAUGUGCCCUGACUGGGAAUGGAACUGGCGACCCUUUGGUUCGGAGGCCAACACUCAGUCCACUGAGCCACACCAGCCAGGGCUGACUUUUCUUAUUAUGUAAUAAAAUUUGAUCUGAACUUUCUAUAA